CUCAGUGGGAAUCUACUUUGCGAACACUCGAACUGGAUAAUUGCGGGAAUUCUGCGACUAAUACAAUUCGCUCGCUGGGGUAUCCGGCUCUCGACCAACCGCCUUGUGCGUCUUGUGUUGAAUCACGGAUUCCCUUCGUCGAUUCUAUCGACACGCAAAAUGGAUUUCUGCCCUAUCAACUAGACGGUUGGCUCUGGGCCUACCGUGGUUACAACGGGUGACGGGGAAUGAGGGUUCGACCCCGGAGAGGGAGCCUGAGAGACGGCUACCACAUCUAAGGAAGGCAGCAGGCGCGCAAAUUACCCAAUUCCUACUUGGGAGCUGGUGUGACAAGAUAUAACAAUAUCCGGGCUGCUGAGAGUCUGGUAAUUGCAAU
rnacentral:rRNA from 1 species